rnacentral:tRNA from 1 species
AAAUAAGAAGCAAAUUGCAUUUAAUUUCGACUUAAAAGAUAGAGAUAUUAUUAUUCUCCUUAUU